rnacentral:rRNA from 1 species
UGGGGAAUUUUGGACAAUGGGCGCAAGCCUGAUCCAGCCAUGCCGCGUGAAGGAUGAAGGCCUUCGGGUUGUAAACUGCUUUUGUACGGAACGAAAAGGUGCCUUCUAAUAAAGGGCGCUCAUGACGGUACCGUAAGAAUAGGCACCGGCUAACUACGUGCCAGCAGCCGCGGUAAUACGUAGGGUGCGAGCGUUAAUCGGAAUUACUGGGCGUAAAGCGGGCGCAGGCGGUUUUGUAAGACAGAGGUGAAAUCCCCGGGCUCAACCUGGGAACUGCCUGUGNGACAGCAAGGCUGGAGUGCGGCAGAGGGGGAUGGAAUUCCGCGUGUAGCAGUGAAAUGCGUAGAUAUGCGGAGGAACACCGAUGGCGAAGGCAAUCCCCUGGGCCUGCACUGACGUUCAUGCACGAAAGCGUGGGGAGCAAACA